rnacentral:misc_RNA from 1 species
AAAAAUUUUAGAAAUUACUAGCUGAAUCAAACUAAAAACCCAAUAUCCCUCUUAUCAAAUAACUAAAUUUCAUUGUUACGGUUAGAACUUAGAACCAAAUAAUGCACACCCUUAUGUAAAGUUGUCUUCACAAUGACCUGGAAAUGGAAAAAGAAUUGCUUAGGCUUGGAUUUCAAAAUUUGAUAUUCUUAUGUUCCAUAAAGUAUUGCUAGUAAAUUCCCUUAAGUUCUGCAAUUUCCCUUCCUGCAAAUUGAAUUCGGCUACCAACAUGGUUAAUUCAGUUGCUUUCCUAGUAGUGUGCAGUGGUUAGGGUUUUUGGUUAUCCGCAUAUUACCAACAUCAAUAUGAGAAGUAUUAAUGGCUUAGAUAUUUAAAGUUGCACAAAUACAGUUGAAAGAGCAGAUUCAGUUAAGUAGACAUGCAUGUUUAUACAUUUUGUUGUCCAUUUGUUUGCUUGUUUGUUUCUAUUGCCUUAACAUGGGUGUAGUUUUAUCUGAAAUACUGGAAUAAUAUUUCAUAAUCUUUAUUUUAUUAGAUCUGUCAUUAGCAUGCGAUCCACUUUGCUGAGGAGUAAAAUGCACUGCAUUUGCUGCUUGAACAAAUCUUUAAUUUGAUAUAGCAUUUAUAAUUUGGUGUAUUUUUUCUGUUAAGAAAGGAGCAAUGACACCAAUGG